GACGAGCGCUGGCGGCGUGCUUAACACAUGCAAGUCGAACGGAAAGGCCCUGCUUUUGUGGGGUGCUCGAGUGGCGAACGGGUGAGUAACACGUGAGUAACCUGCCCUUGACUUUGGGAUAACUUCAGGAAACUGGGGCUAAUACCGGAUAGGAGCUCCUGCUGCAUGGUGGGGGUUGGAAAGUUUCGGCGGUUGGGGAUGGACUCGCGGCUUAUCAGCUUGUUGGUGGGGUAGUGGCUUACCAAGGCUUUGACGGGUAGCCGGCCUGAGAGGGUGACCGGCCACAUUGGGACUGAGAUACGGCCCAGACGCCUACGGGAGGCAGCAGUGGGGAAUAUUGCACAAUGGGCGGAAGCCUGAUGCAGCAACGCCGCGUGCGGGAUGACGGCCUUCGGGUUGUAAACCGCUUUCGCCUGUGACGAAGCGUGAGUGACGGUAAUGGGUAAAGAAGCACCGGCUAACUACGUG
rnacentral:rRNA from 1 species